CAAAACUAAUUCCUAAGAAAAAGAAGAAUGAAGGAAGAAGGAAUCGAGUUGAAUCAUUCAGUAUUUUAAUAAAUUUUUCUUUUGAAUUUCGAUUUAUUAAUUUCAUUUCGAUGUAGCCUUGCAAAAGCCCAAAUCAGAAGCGAGAAAGAACGAAAGAAACAGUUGGGAUUUUGAUUAGAUUGGUGUUGGUUUUGGAGGGGCAAUCAAAAUUUGGAUGAAUUGCAGCAGAUGAUGAUUUUUUGUUGCUCUCUGAAUCUGAGAGAUGCGAUUCAAGCUUGUCUUCGUGAUUACGAUAAGCUUCUCUAUGUGGCCGUCAUCCUCAUUUACAUCCAAAUUGGGUGCGCCUUGACCGGAUCCGUCGGCGCAUUGUACAACGGCGUGUUGUUGGCAAAUUUGGGCAUAGCCUUGUUUGCUUUGGUCGCCAUCGAGAGUGGCAGUCAAAGCUUAGGCCGAGCAUACGCCGUUUUGCUCUUUUGCGCCAUUUUGCUCGACGUUUCGUGGUUCGUCCUCUUCGCCCACGAUAUCUGGAACAUGUCGAAAGAGAGCAACGGCGACGGGGAAGAAGGGGAAAAUCGUGGGAUGUUGUUCAUUUUCUCGGUGAGAUUAACGCUUGCGAUGGAGAUAGUCGGGUGUUUCGUGAGAUUAUGGUCGUCUAUCUUGUGGUUUCAAAUAUACAGGCUUGGGGUUUCGCAUGUAAGCAAUGGUGAAGAUAUAAGAGACCCUGAUUUUGAUUUGAGAAAUGGGUUUUUAGCCCCUUCAACUCCCUCAAACGCCUUACUCAGACAGUGCUCUCAAAAUGAAUCCGAUGAAGCUUUAGGGGGCGCCAUUUAUGAUCCUCCUUAUUACUCUUCUCUCUUUGAGGAUCGUCAGCAACACAAUAGGAAUUCUUUUCUGGGUCAUGAUGGUAUUGGUGGAAGUGGAUCUGCUCCUGAUGCUGAAAUUUCUUUGCUAAAGCCAUCACUUGCUUCAACUCUUCGGAUUAUCGAUGAGGAGAAUGCUACGAAAUUGCCUCAGUUGAAUCUGAGCACGAUAUCCGUGAAAAAUUGAGUUUAUCAUUAUCAUUUUGCUUAAAUUUUUUGGGUAUGGUGGGAGUGAGAUUUGUACAGGUUCCUACUUUGUCAUUCUUUUGGCAGGAAGCUGAAGGUCUUCGAGUUAGAAAAAAACCCAGCCAACGGUGUGUUGAUAGAGUUUUAUAAAGCGAUCGAUCUAACGCCAUGGAGCUGGAAAUUGUCUGUGUACCGGCAAUUUGUUGCAGGCAACCCUCCAAAAUACCCCCAGAGCUCUGGCUGAAAAAAUGGUUUUGGAUAUAAAAUUUGGGUAAAGUACACAAAUGAUCUCUCGAUUAUAGGAUUUUUUG